rnacentral:rRNA from 1 species
CCCUAGUAACGGCGAGUGAAGCGGCAACAGCUCAAAUUUGAAAUCUGGCUCUUUUAGGGUCCGAGUUGUAAUUUGCAGAGGGCGCUUUGGCGUUGGCAGCGGUCCAAGUUCCUUGGAACAGGACGUCACAGAGGGUGAGAAUCCCGUACGUGGUCGCUGGCCUUCGCCGUGUAAAGCCUCUUCGACGAGUCGAGUUGUUUGGGAAUGCAGCUCUAAAUGGGAGGUAAAUUUCUUCUAAAGCUAAAUACUGGCCAGAGACCGAUAGCGCACAAGUAGAGUGAUCGAAAGAUGAAAAGCACUUUGGAAAGAGAGUCAAAUAGCACGUGAAAUUGUUAAAAGGGAAGCGCUUGCAGCCAGACUUGCCCGUAGUUGCUCAUCCAGGCUUUUGCCUGGUGCAUUCUUCUAUGGGCAGGCCAGCAUCAGUUUGGGCGGUUGGAUAAAGGUCUCUGUCAUGUACCUCCUUUCGGGGAGGCCUUAUAGGGGAGACGACAUGCAACCAGCCUGGACUGAGGUCCGCGCAUUCGCUAGGAUGCUGGCGUAAUGGCUGUAAGCGGCCCGUCUUGAAACACGGACCAAGGAGUCUAACAUCUAUGCGAGUGUUUGGGUGUCAAGCCCGAACGCGCAAUGAAAGUGAACGGAGGUGGGAACCCUUAAGGGUGCACCAUCGACCGAUCCUGAUGUCUUCGGAAGGAUUUGAGUAAGAGCAUAGCUGUUGGGACCCGAAAGAUGGUGAACUAUGCUUGAAUAGGGUGAAGCCAGAGGAAA